CAAAUGCUGGCGCCUUCCACCCGCCGUUUUCAUCAGCGAGCAUGAAACAAAGGAUCAAAAUGAAAGAAAACUCUGCAAUCAAUCAGCAUGAAAUAAGUCUAGUCUUGCGUCAUGAGUCAAAAAUAGAUUCGGUUGAACUCACAGGCAGCAUGGUGGCCCAGUCGUCAGCCCGUCUACCUUCCGAGAUUCACUAAGGAUACGCCGGAAGGAUCCGCCUCAUCGCGACAGGAAGUGGAGGUUGCGAUGCGUCGCCUCUGCGAGACGGCAUCUUGGCUGAGCCUGCCAAAAUUCAAGUCAACAAGUUGACUGACGAUUGAUGAAAGCCGGCCACUCUCGUUCAACCUGGCAAGCUGUGUCAGGUAUUUUUUUCAAGUUCGUUUUUUGUACAUAUCGUCAUUUAUAUUUAUAUACGAUGAAAAGAACCCUGCUGGUGGUUCCGGAAGCUUUACUAAUGUAUGUGAUGUACUCCAAACGACGACUAUAAAUCUUGACAUGCUUCUGGCGUGGAUAAUACAGAAUAAAUCCGUCAAAUGAAUUGGCAGGAGUGAAAGCCAGAAAGAUAUGAAAGCCAAAUUGGAAAGAAAGGCCCAAUUUGGACCUAAUGGUCUGUCCUAAUGGGGCAACGGCAGGAGAGCGAUUCAUCAGAGAAACACUUUGAGGCGCUCGUCGUGUAAAUGCGGACUGAAUCUUUGAUUAUGUGCACUGUGGGCGACCUGGCCAAUUUGCAUGCGAGGAAAAAAAAAAAUCUGAAAGUUAAGGAAGAAAUUAAAAUCACCUCACUUUUACAAACAAUUGUUUGAAUAAAUUGAUCAAGCGAUGAAUAGGAUAAACAUUUCUGUAGUGGAAUUGAUAUGAAUAAUUUGUUUUGGGCGUAAAAUGAUGAUGAUCAUUUAGCUUUUUCUUAAAAAAUAUAUUACUGAAUGUUCCUCUUGUUUUAUUCC